rnacentral:lncRNA from 1 species
CGGUGAUAGUACAACUGAGUAAUCGGGCUUCAUACUCUUGGCCUCUUUUUGACUGCUAAGAAUUUGGAGAAGGCUAUUAAUGAAGGAGGAGGCUCCACCUGCUGCCGGCCCACCAAUACUUCCAGCUGACUGCUUUACAGAACAGGAAAGGGCCACCAAAAUAAGCCGGCUGAUGACACCAUCUUUACAAUCACCAUUGUUGCCACAGUGAUAAGUGCCAUAGCUACUUGAUUGCUCAAUACCUUGCCCCAUCCACUGGUGAUAAUUUGGGUAAGCAUAAUGCUGCUGUAUGCCAUGAAUUGCCCAUGCCUCAUCCCCUCCACUUCCCUAGCAAGAGGGUUAUCAAUUUACUUUUCAAACAUGUGGAACAUAAUCCCAGAAUCUCAUUUGAGAGUCAUUUCC